rnacentral:rRNA from 1 species
GAUUUUGAUCCUGGCUCAGGACGAACGCUGGCGGUGCGCUUAAUGCAUGCAAGUCGAACGAGAACGGCGGCUUCGGUCGCUAAGUAAAGUGGCAGACGGCUGAGUAACACGUAAGUAACCAACCCCGGAGCGGGGAAUAAUCAUGAGAAAUCGUGCCUAAUACCCCGUACGUCCCAACAGGCGUUGCCGUUGGGGGAAAGGCUUCGGUCGCUUCUGGAGGGGCUUGCGGCCUAUCAGGUAGUUGGCGGGGUAAUGGCCCACCAAGCCGAAGACGGGUAACCGGUGUGAGAGCAUGAUCGGUCAGAGGGGGACUGAGAUACGGCCCCCACUCCUACGGGAGGCAGCAGCAGGGAAUCUUGCGCAAUGGGCGAAAGCCUGACGCAGCGACACCGCGUGGGGGAAGAAGGCUUUAGGGUUGUAAACCCCUUUUCUCGGGGAAGACAAAGGACGGUACCCGAGGAAUAAGGUUCGGCUAACUACGUGCCAGCAGCCGCGGUAAGACGUAGGAACCGAGCGUUGUCCGGAUUUACUGGGCGUAAAGAGCGCGUAGGCGGCUUAUGAAGUCCCAUGUGAAAUCUCCCGGCUCAACUGGGAGGGGUCAUGGGAAACUGGUAGGCUGGAGGUCAGUAGAGGAAAGUGGAAUUCCCGGAGUAGUGGUGAUAUGCGUAGAUACCGGGAGGAACACCAGAGGCGAAGGCGGCUUUCUGGACUGCACCUGACGCUGAGGCGCGAGAGCAUGGGGAGCAAACCGGAUUAGAUACCCUGGUAGUC